GUUGUGCUUGCGAGGAAGGUGGGAUCGAGAGCAGGGCCACCGCAGAAGAUCUUAAUCUCCGAGGUGGAUCAUAGAAGGAGAUACGUUCUGACAGUCACUGCGCAGAUCUAUAACUGAUGAACAACAAACUGAAGAGAAACUUGAUUUAAGGGCACAUCUACUGCUCACUUAUCUUGAAGAGUGAACAACUCGG
rnacentral:lncRNA from 11 species